rnacentral:rRNA from 1 species
GAUGAACGCUGGCGGCGUGCCUAAUACAUGCAAGUCGAGCGAACAGAUGAGGAGCUUGCUCCUCUGACGUUAGCGGCGGACGGGUGAGUAACACGUGGAUAACCUACCUAUAAGACUGGGAUAACUUCGGGAAACCGGAGCUAAUACCGGAUAAUAUUUUGAACCGCAUGGUUCUAUAGUGAAAGACGGUUUUGCUGUCACUUAUAGAUGGAUCCGCGCCGCAUUAGCUAGUUGGUAAGGUAACGGCUUACCAAGGCAACGAUGCGUAGCCGACCUGAGAGGGUGAUCGGCCACACUGGAACUGAGACACGGUCCAGACUCCUACGGGAGGCAGCAGUAGGGAAUCUUCCGCAAUGGGCGAAAGCCUGACGGAGCAACGCCGCGUGAGUGAUGAAGGGUUUCGGAUCGUAAAACUCUGUUAUUAGGGAAGAACAAAUGUGUAAGUAACUAUGCACGUCUUGACGGUACCUAAUCAGAAAGCCACGGCUAACUACGUG